AUGGCCUGGGAUUUGUUUUUCCUUACACUUCUCACCUACUGUGCAGGUUCCAGUUUGCAGGCAACGCUGACUCAGCCUCCCACGGCGUCUGUGUCUCUGGGCCAAACAGUUAAACUCUCCUGUUCCGGAAGCAGUGAUGGGAGCUGGCUCGGCUUCUCCUGGUAUCAGCAGAAACCUGGUCAGGCCCCUCGUUUUGUGCACUGUAGUGUUUGCAGCAGCGGAGAAGAAGGGAUCCUGGACAGGUUCAAUGCUUCUGAGUCCGGGGACACUGGCUCUUUAACCAUCAGUAAUGUCCAGGCUGAAGAUGAGGCUGAUUAUUAUUGUGCUUGUGUAGAGCUCAGUAGUGGUUGGGAGUUCCACAGUGAACUAAACUGCUUUGAAGUGCUUGCCAUGGCCUGGGCUCUGAUAUCCCUGGCACUCCUCAGUUAUUGUGCAGGUCUCAGUUUACAGGUGAGUGUGACUCAGCCUGCAUCAGCGUCUGUGUCCCUGGGCCAAACCAUUAAACUUUCCUGCACUAGAAGUGGUGUUGGUGGUAGCUGGGGAAAUGACUACUCCUGGUAUCAACAGAGAACUGGACAGGUUCCUCGCUUCCUGUGGUAUGGUAGCAGCACCAGGGGUGAAGGGGUCCCGGAUCGGUUCACUGGUUCUUACUCUGGGAACACGGGCCAUUUAACCAUCACCAACAUCCAGGCUGAAGAUGAGGCUGAUUAUUACUGUUGCGAAACUCAUAACCCUGGUAGUGGUUGGACGUUGCACAGUGGUGGAACCAAAUGA